rnacentral:lncRNA from 1 species
UUCGUAAAUUGCUAACGCAAUCAUAAGCCAUGCUAUCAAUAAGUUCCUUAUUUAAUCGCUUGUGCUUACUCAACUCCACCGACCUUUCUAUAAUCAUUGAUAAUUGAGAAGCUGAGAUUUCUGUGCUGAGUCUAAGUGGAUGAGCAUUAUUGGUGUGCCCAGAAACAGGUAACGGCUUUUUGGCCAAAGGUGUCAAAUAGGAUGGCAAAGGGUUUAAAAAGGGAUGAACCAGCAAUUCCGGUAUUGUAAGUCUCUUCCGUUGAUCCCUUUCCAGGCAUCUUUUCAUAACAUCCAUUAGAUCAGGCCCGACAGUUACACCUGGCAACGAUCCCUCUUUCUCCUGGACAGCAUUAGCAGGUAAGGCAACUUCGGGGAAAUGAAUGUGAUAUUGUUCAUUAGGGAUAGCUGCUAUAGCUUGGAUCAUUUUUAGAUGAGCAAACGGGGCCCUCCCAUACACCAUCUGAUAUAAUAUACAUCCCAAACUCCACACGUCGCUGGGCCUGCCCAACUUUACGAGUUUCACGCCAGAGUUUGUGUGAGCAUUCAUGUCUGUCAAAGCUUCAGGUGCCAUAUAAUUAAUAGUACCGAUGUGGGAAUCACGAUGGAUAUUAGUGGUGUCAUUACCAAUUGCUUUGGCAAUGCCAAAAUCAAUCAGCUUCAAAUUCCCUUCUACAAGCAGGAAAUUGGCCGGCUUCAAAUCCGAAUGCACUAUAUUUUGAUCAUGAACUACCUGGACCGCCUCUAGCAUUUGCUCCCAAUACAUUCUGAUGAAAUUAAGAUUAAUGGGUUUCUUCAUGUUUUUCAUUAAAAGGUUUGCUAAAUCCGUUUCUCCGCAUUCCAUCACCAUAUUGAGUUGCCCUAAAGUAUCAUUAACUUCGGCAGCAUAUAAUUUAAUUAUGCGAUCAUUGCCUGAAAGCUUUCUUAAUAAUGCAAUUUCGUUCUUGUAUCCUUGUAUAGUAGUUUGGUCUGCAUUAAUAAAGUUCACCUCUUUCAAAGCGUAUAAACGACUGUUAUCGGGGGAAAAUAUGCGAUAUACCAUACUACUUCCACCCUUUCCAACAACUCCUAAUUUGAUAAAUUGUAGAUUGGCAACAGUAACAACGUCCUGCUGACGCUUGGGUAUGGGAGUAGCUUGACUGUUAUCAAAUAACGGAGCCACCUUUGGAGAAAGAGCAUGAGAUUCAUAUGGUUGAGAAGCAGAACGCUGAGGCUCUUGGAAAACGGUGACUGGACGAGAAUGAAGUUCACUAGCUCUUCUUUCAACAUCGUGAUCAAACUGCACCCUAGGAGAAAAAGAGCUCUCAAACUGAGAAGGAUGAAAAGAAGGUUUGGGAUGCUCCUGGGAUGUUUGCAAAGGAGUGUUAUGCAGCUGCAGAGGUUUUAAAGUUGUUGCAGCAACAGAGUUGGAAGCUGGUGAUACUUCUCGAGAUUUCAUUUCAAUAUCCUCAUCUGCUUCUGUAGAGUUUUUGGUAUCGGAAGUCUUCGAGGGAUCCGUCAACGUGUACUCAGCACGCUUUGGAGGGCCUAAUCCAAUUCUGCCGAUUCUUCGUCGUCUUGAAAUUGAUAAAGAACCGGGGGUUUUGUUUACACUUUUAGGUAACAAAUCAUGCUCCGAAUUAGAAUUGAGAUCAUUCACUCCUGCACUGAGUGAAACUUCACUGUGAGACGCAUUAGUAGAGGGCAAGGGUGUUAUUAAAUGCUCGAAAUGGUGCAUUGACUGAUAUGCUGGAGUAUUCACUUCCUUCAAAGCAGAAUUUUGUCCUCCAUUUCCUUGCAAAUCAAAAUUUUUAGUACGAGGAUGUGAGACCAAUCUCUCUAAAGCAGUUGCACCGCUUGACUGCCUACGCAACGUAUCCCCAGUAACGGUGCCAUCAGAAUGGCUACUCUUGGAAGAGAAAGUGUCAUUUUUGAAGUAUAAUUCUGGAUCCUGAAGCUCUUCGAGAAAAGAAAGCGAGUCUUCAUCUAAGGAAGAAUCUGACACCAAGUCCGCGAUAUUAGUCACAGGAGGAUUGCGCUUAGACAUAAACACAGUUACUAAAAAACGAGCAUUCCAAACCGAAUUUCCAACUGUUUGUUAAGCGUUAAUCAAUAAAUUUUUACUUCGUUAUAAGAAUAGCUAGAAAAGACGAACAGCAGAGCAACCAUUAGUGUGCACAUUUCAAAAUGUUAUGUUACUACAAAGAUCACCCUCUAACGCAAUGCUAGCUACUUCAGUGUAUAUCAUUAUUUUACGAGUUUCGCAUGGUUAUGAAAACGAAAAUUCUGAGUAAGAAUGGCAUAAGAUCAUUAUUAGACUAGUCAUGAAAGAAAAAGAAGAGUUGUGAAAGUAAAAAGUUUUUUCACCUAGGUCGCCUUGCCCUUACUAUAUCUGUGAUUGAGGCCAUUUCCAUCCAGCCGCUAACAGCUUCCUGCGAAUCUUUUUGUGGUGAAUAUGGUUCUGCUCUUGGAAUUGGAACAAAAGACUUCUAGGACUGAUCUGAUGCCAUUGGGCGGCCUUGAUCUUAUGGAAACAAGAGUCUUCUCUUUCAGGAUAAACAACACCUAAAGUAGAUAUUACACGGUGUUGACGAGCAAAUGCUUGUAUUUGCAAAUCAAAAUCCAACGAUAUGCAGGAAGGACAGACAAAUGAAUCGCAAACCAAACAACUUCUUAAAUCUAUGCAAUAACGACAAAUCGGCUUCUUCCAUUCCCUUAAGCAAUAGAUACAAGCAGGGACUUUUUGCAAAGAAAAAAGAUCGGCAAGCUCAGUUUCCUGACCUGCAAUUUUGCAUGCAUUCAAAGGGCAACGUGAAAUAUCGCAUUCGACUGGGUUACCAUGAGUAGUUGGUAAAGCGUCUAAAGCAUUUUGAAAUAAAAUUACUCGACUAUGCCAAUUGCUUGUUAAUGUGUCAUCCUCAGAGCCAUCAAGCAAAACAGGUUUUAGUAAUUCUAAUCCUUUAACACCAAGGACGUAUAGAUUUUCCAAUGAAAAUGUCCUGCUUUUAGAAUUUUGUAGAAACUCAAUGAGAGAUAGAGAGCAAACACCAACACACCAUCUUAUACUCAAGGUUUUAACGGUAGGAAUGUUCAGCAAGAUAUUCGUUACACUAGAAAUGGUAACACCUGUUCCGUCUAAAGCAAUGGUCUGAAGUCCCUGGAAUUUGGCAAGCAUUGACCAGACAAAUGAAUCGCGAAGUUGGAGUUUUAAAAUUGGUGGGUUUCCGUAGAGAUCAACUUCAGUAGCCCAUUCUAAAUCACUGGCAACAGGAACUGUACGUUGAUAAGGUUGUAAAUUAAGAAAAUUGUUAUUAAAACAGCAUUCAUCGACAGCUGAUUUACGAAGCCAAUAGUAAAACUGCCUACUUGAAUGCAUCAGGCGUAAUAUAUCGAAUGCAUCAAGAUAAUUAAUGAUCAAGGACCAUAUGUCUCUGUUCAAGAGAAAUAAAUUGGAAUUUUUUAACACAGGUUGAAUUGGAUCUUCCUCAUGAUUCCGGUUUGACAAAGAAAGGGUUGUGAGAGCUUCAGCUGUAAAAUCCACUUCGCACUGAUUACUCGACCAAUGUGUCGGCCUCAUAAAGUCCCGAAAUACUUUAUAAAUUGUUAUUUACACAAUUUCUUUUAAGAUAAUGCAAUUUUCGUAGCUUGUUUGCGAUUCAGCAACUCUUUUGCUAACGAUUUUUUCAAAAGAGAACAAUUUAUGCCGAGGAAUGUUAAGAAACGUAAAGAAUGUGUUUUUUUAGAUUCAAAGAUUCCGUUUUCUUGGUUGGAGAUAAUCUUAUUCGGGAAAAAUCAAUAAUGAACCUCGUGAUAAUUAUAAUUGACAAAUACUUUUUGUUUUCAAGUGUUGACGUUAAUGAGCUCCUGUUGAUAUAUAUAAAACAAGAAAUUCUCUAAUAUAGUCCCAAAAAAAAUCCCAAAAUCAUAGAAUUGGGGAAGUGGUUUAUUUUUUCAACGAAAUGGAGUAGGUUAGGGUGUUUUAGGAAAAGAGGAUUGCUAACAACAUCUUCAUUCUCUAGAAUUAUUCCCAAACUCAACUGUUAUAUUGAUUAAAAUAAAUUCUUUUAAAGACAAGAAUGCGUUUUGCUUUGACUUGCUGAUUGCUGUAGCUAUUCACACUUAAAGGCGCAUUGGGUUUCUUGACAUUGGAGAGCUUCUGAAUUAAACAGAAAGAAUAGUUUAGUUUUUUUUACUACAAAAAAAAGCUUAAGGGACUAUACAGGCACAUGAGAUUGAACAGACAAAGUUGUUGUAUCGCUAAAUAUUCAGACGACUGACACUGCUGAUUCGUGCAAUAUGUUCGUUCGAAAGAGAUUCAUUUCUCAAAAUGUUUUGACAGUUCUUCUAUAUUGCUUGAUGACCUUAGUGCUAUUAGUUUAUUGGCAAAGAGUCUGUGAAGUAUAAUUGCAAAGACUCAAACCGAACUAAUCUUUGCAAUUUGAGUAUCCCGUAGCGUUAGCUUUUCAUUUUAGUCAACUCUUUAUCUCGGAAUGUCAUUCUCGAAUCUUUGAGCCUGAUAGUCGAACCGUAUUGAAGACUUAUAAAAUGACUGUUCGCUUGGAAUAUGAAUAUGUAAAGAAUAUUCUCCAACAUGAGUGGAGUAAUAUUUCCUAUAAAAAAAUUAAUGAGAGUGCCCUUUUAUCUCUAAAUUGGGGUUGGUUAUGCCUGUAAACAUCUACUGGUUAUGAUCCUGAAUUAUUUUUAAAGUUAGGGAAGCCUAAGUGCUCGGAGCAGAAUUUUUAAAGAUUCCAAGUUUAUUAUUCUUUUUUAUUCCUCAAUUCUUAACAUUUUCGUCAACUAAGAAUUUGUUUAUCCAGAUAAAUGUUGACCUUGAUUAAGCAAAUUAUAAAGAGCAAAUACAGAAUACUAAAAGGAUAUAAUAAACGUUUGUUUAACAAAUUUACAUUUAUAUACAUGUUAGAUA